rnacentral:tRNA from 1 species
GGGCCCGUGGCGUAGCUUGGAUACAAUCUCUUGCCAAAAAGCGCGUCGGCCCUCUAAGCCGGAGACCCUGGGUUCGAAUCCCAGCGGGCCCG